AAUACAGGCCACCCAGUUAAAUUUGAAUUUCAGAUAAACAACAAUUUUUUUUUUAGUGUAAUUAUGCUUCAUGCAAUAUUUGGGACAUACUUACACUAAAAGAUCAUUCAUUGUUGAUCUGAAAUUCAAAUUUAAUUGGGUGCCCUGUAUUUU
rnacentral:miRNA from 1 species